rnacentral:rRNA from 1 species
AGAGUUUGAUCCUGGCUCAGGACGAACGCUGGCGGCGUGCUUAACACAUGCAAGUCGAACGGUAAGGCCCCAGCUUGCUGGGGUACACGAGUGGCGAACGGGUGAGUAACACGUGGGUGACCUGCCCCGCACUUCGGGAUAAGCCUGGGAAACUGGGUCUAAUACCGGAUAGGACCGCACCGUGAGGGUGUGGUGGAAAGUUUUUCGGUGUGGGAUGGGCCCGCGGCCUAUCAGCUUGUUGGUGGGGUAAUGGCCUACCAAGGCGGCGACGGGUAGCCGGCCUGAGAGGGUGGACGGCCACAUUGGGACUGAGACACGGCCCAGACUCCUACGGGAGGCAGCAGUGGGGAAUAUUGCACAAUGGGCGGAAGCCUGAUGCAGCGACGCCGCGUGGGGGAUGACGGCCUUCGGGUUGUAAACUCCUUUCACCAUCGACGAAGGUUUUCUGACGGUAGAUGGAGAAGAAGCACCGGCUAACUACGUGCCAGCAGCCGCGGUAAUAUGUAGGGUGCGAGCGUUGUCCGGAAUUACUGGGCGUAAAGAGCUCGUAGGUGGUUUGUCGCGUCGUCUGUGAAAUUCCGGGGCUUAACUCCGGGCGUGCAGGCGAUACGGGCAUAACUUGAGUACUGUAGGGGAGACUGGAAUUCCUGGUGUAGCGGUGAAAUGCGCAGAUAUCAGGAGGAACACCGGUGGCGAAGGCGGGUCUCUGGGCAGUAACUGACGCUGAGGAGCGAAAGCAUGGGUAGCGAACAGGAUUAGAUACCCUGGUAGUCCAUGCCGUAAACGGUGGGCGCUAGGUGUAGGGGUCUUCCACGACUUCUGUGCCGUAGCUAACGCAUUAAGCGCCCCGCCUGGGGAGUACGGCCGCAAGGCUAAACUCAAGGGAAUUGACGGGGGCC